GUAGUCAUAUGCUUGUCUCAAAGAUUAAGCCAUGCAUGUCUAAGUAUAAACACCUUAUACUGUGAAACUGCAGAUGGCUCAUUAAAUCAGUUAUAAUUUAUUUGAUGGUUAACUUACUACAUGGAUACCCGUAGUAAUUCUAGAGCUAAUACAUGCGUCAAGUCCCGACCUUCGCGGGGAGGGAUGUAUUUAUUAGAUAAAAAACCAAUGCGGCCUCUGGUCGGUUUUGCGGUGAUUCAUAAUAACUGUUCGGAUCGUACGGCUUCACGCUGGCGAUAGUUCAUUCAAAUUUCUGCCCUAUCAGCUUUCGACGGUAGUGUAGUGGACUACCGUGGCGUUAACGGGUAACGGGGAAUA
rnacentral:rRNA from 1 species